UACAGAGGGUGCUAGCGUUGUUCGGAAUCAUUGGGCGUAAAGGGCGUGUAGGCGGUUUGUUAAGUCAUGUGUGAAAUCCCUCGGCUCAACCGGGGAACGACGCAUGAAACUGGCAAGCUAGAGUACCAAAGAGGGGGGUGGAAUUCCCGGUGUAGCGGUGAAAUGCGUAGAUAUCGAGAGGAACACCAGUGGCGAAGGCGGGUCUCUGGACAGUUCCUGACGCUGAGGCACGAAGGUCAGGGGAGCAAACGGG
rnacentral:rRNA from 1 species